rnacentral:lncRNA from 1 species
UAAAAUUUCCCUUAAAUACUUGCGCUUUUUUUUUCUUUUGAGACAGAGUCUUGCUGUGUCACCCAAGCUGGCGUGCAGUGACAUGAUCACUGCAGCCUUGAAAUCCUGGACUCAGGCUAUCUUCCCACCCCUGCCUUGCAAAGUGCUGAGAUUAUAGGUGUGAGCCACUGGGCCUGGCCCUGUGUGUGUGUGUGUUAUACUUUUUUUUUGAAAAAGCAAGUUGUCAUUAAAAACAAAAUAAAGGAAAAAGCUCACAGUCAUUGACAUUCAAGGCAUAUUUGCUGUUUAUGGAAUUUUUCUUUCCUAGCAGACAUAACUAUCGAGUUUUAGGUUUAGGUGUCUUUUCCUUUGUUUUAUGUGUCUUUACCUUUCAUUGCUUACAGAUAAUAUUGGAGCAAAAGUAAUAUGUAAGCAGAAAGUUAUUUUGCUCUGAGUAGUAUUUGUGUUAACUUAUUCUAGAGUUAAUUUUUUAAAAUUGUGUUUUUUUGUUUUUUUGGUUUUUUUUUUUUCCCCAGAAACAGCAUUUAAAUUUAAAGCCCUAAAGAAGGUUGCACAGUUAGCAGUUAUAAAUAGCCUGGAAAAGGCAUUUUGGAACUGGGUAGAAAAUUAUCCAGAUGAAUUUACAAAACUGUACCAGAUUCCACAGACUGAUAUGGCUGGUAAGAAUGAGAUUGAUUUUUUUUUUUUUUUGGUCUUUUAAAUGCCUACUUGUGACAUAAAAACCUAUCAUUUUCCAAGUUAUUUUUGUUACAAAGGUGCUUUUACAUUUAUUGUCACCUGGCAUCAAAGAAAUAGAAAAUACUGUUUUUCU